rnacentral:rRNA from 1 species
AACGAACGCUGGCGGCAUGCCUAACACAUGCAAGUCGAACGAGACCUUCGGGUCUAGUGGCGCACGGGUGCGUAACGCGUGGGAACCUGCCCUUAGGUUCGGAAUAACUCCCCGAAAGGGGUGCUAAUACCGGAUAAUGUCUUCGGACCAAAGAUUUAUCGCCUUUGGAUGGGCCCGCGUUGGAUUAGCUGGUUGGUAGGGUAAAAGCCUACCAAGGCGACGAUCCAUAGCUGGUCUGAGAGGAUGAUCAGUCACACUGGGACUGAGACACGGCCCAGACUCCUACGGGAGGCAGCAGUGGGGAAUAUUGGACAAUGGGCGAAAGCCUGAUCCAGCAAUGCCGCGUGAGUGAUGAAGGCCUUAGGGUUGUAAAGCUCUUUUACCCGGGAUGAUAAUGACAGUACCGGGAGAAUAAGCUCCGGCUAACUCCGUG